AAAACCCCAAAUCCUACAUCGUCUUUUCUUCCCUCCUUACACUCUCCGGCGAUUUUCCAAUCCAACCUCCGGCGACGUGGCGAGGAGUUCCUCCGGUGACAGAAGCGACUUUCCUCUGGUGAGUUUUAUUUACCUUUUAAUUUUAAAUGCUUUUCCGUAGACUUUCCUCUGGCCGUGUUCUUAUUAUCUAAAUUUACUCUACUGUAAAGUAUCUCAUAACUCAACUCAUUAUUUCUAACACAAUCUCUUACCCAACUAACAAGAUCACCAUCACCAUCACAUUCACUUCCUUCUAAUUGUUGUACAGAUUUUCUCCCUGUCACCAGUUCUAGCAAAACAACUCCGUAGCUAUAGAUAUUACUUUUCUCUGUUACCUUCAUUGUAUAUGCAUAUUCUGCAAGAAAAGAAAUCACAAAAACAAAACAAAAGGUGUUAUUAUAAUUGCAAAUUUGCAAACACAAUUUGUUACUUCUUGGUCCGUUCACAUGAGAUUCAUAUGUGAGAUAAAUUCUCAACUAUCAAUAUCUCAUUUAUCCCUUUCAAUCAUUUCUGGUUAUGGAGUAUUAUAUCUCAUGAGAAUGAUUCAUAUGAGACAUCUUGGAUAAUGAGAUAUAACAUCUCAUUCGUUCCAUUUAUCCAACUUAUCUCUUCCCAAAAGUAAUGUUAUUCCCCCCGCCCCAAAUCGAUUUCCCCCCAAAACCCAAUUUAUUAAAUUAGGACCAAUUUAUUAAAUUACCCAAUUAAAUUCCCAAAUUUCCCCAAAUACUUCCCCUAAACCUAAACCCUCCAUUUACCCCAAAUUUUUCCCAAAUUUCCCCAAAUCCUUCUCGCCGGAUUUGCUCUCCUUCUCGCCGGAUUUUUCUCAACUCUCCUUCUUGUCAGAUUUUUCGCCGGAGGUAAUGUUCUUCAAUCGUUCAUUUCUUAAUCGUUCAUUUCAAUCUACCAAGUAUUAUUGAUUAUUGAUGUCAUCAUAAUUGACAAACGGGUAACAAAACCCUGCUAAUUUCCUGUUCCGCAUUCAGAUCCCCAAAGAAGUAGUUGUAGUAGUAUAAGAAGAAAUAAAAUCUUAAAAUCUAAGAGCUUGUGUUUGUGUUUAGUUAAUACUUACAUGAUGAGAUUCUGAGUCCAAAGAAAACUGUAAUGGUGGAAAUCCUCUGUCGGAUCGAACCAAAGUUGAUAUCUUUCUUCUCUGCCAAUUGAUGUGCUUCCAUUUCCAUACAUAUUGGUCUGCAAUCGCCACUCUUUCCCUCUGAAUAGCUGAAUUAUGAUUUGGCUGGGUGAAUGAUAUUUUCAGUGAAGUUAAUAAAAAUUAAAUUAAAACAAAGUUUUCAAAACUAUCAAAGAACUUAUCUUCUUCCCUUCUACAUCCACAGUAUUUGCCAGCAAGUUAUUGUAGUUUUGUCUAGCCCAGCAAUAUUCCAGUAUCUCUCCCAAUAUUUGCAAAAGUUGUGCAAAUAUUUUCAAAUGUUCUGCCGAUGCAUGCAGUGUAUGUAUAAAAUUAUAAAUCACUUACAAUUACAACCAUAUUUUUCAUCUUUACCAGAACAUAAAAUGUUAUAUUAACCAUUUCCAAUCAAUAAAAUAAAGAUUUAAGAAGUUGGUUUUGAUAAUGGAAAUAAUAAAUGGUUUGGAUUCAUUAAAUGAAUGAAUGAAUACGAUCUCAAUAAACUCUAGGUUUAAUUCGAGUUUGCGAUUUCAAAAUAAAUGAAUGCUUGCGAUUUAUAAAUUCUUAGUUUCUAUCGACUAUCAUAUGAUUCACAUCGUGUUUAAUUUUAUAGUUUUAUAGUGUCAUAUUAUGUUAGAUUUUAUAUUAUUUAGAAAUGUUUAGUUAGAGUUAGUUAUUUUUGUAUAAAUUUUUUGAAUACUUAUUUUAAUACCUUUUUCAUUUAAAUAUUGAUUUUUAAGAGGUUUCAGUUAAAUUGUAAUAUCCCCAAAAGUAUAAACUAAGUUAAGUCAUUUUAGUCCUUUUAAAUGUUUUUCCAAAUUAUGUUAAAUUAGGUCAUUUUAAACUUAUUUCCCCAAAUCAUAUGGGGAUGAUGGCCAUAGGUUUAGAGGUAAUGAAAUGCAUAUGGCCAUAGGUUUAGAGGUAAUGAUGUUUUUUUCAUCAAUCCUAAGCCCAUGUCUACAAUAUGCCUAUGAUUUCUUUAAGAAAUUGCUACCUUCUCAUGAGUGUGAGGGCAUCAGAAAAUAUGGCUAAUUCCAUUUUCUCCUUAGAAUUAUUUAAACUCAUUACUAACAUAUGCCCCCGGCCCCCAUUAUCAGUCUGUAAAAAUUUAAUCGUAGUGUUUAGAUGAUUUUCCGAGCUGAGCCGAGCCAAGCUGAGCCUGACAAGCCCUAGCUGAGCCGAGCCAAAAUUGAGCCUGCAAAGCCCUAGCUGAGCCCGAGCCGAGCUGAGCCUUUCUUAUUAUGAUUUAUUUUUUUUAUUUUUCAUGAUAUAUUUUUCAUGAAACUCAAGCGGACAUGCAACUCAUUUUUGCAUGUUUCAAUUAUUUUAUAGAAUGGCCGGCAAUGAUCGAAAUUGGAUGUACAACCGACUAGAUGAGAAAAAUCAAAUUACCGAUUCAUUUCUCAAUGGUAUCGAGCGGUUUCUAAACUUUGCAUUCUCAGAGUCAAUUAUUGUUCAACAAAAGGUAAGACUUUAGAUAUUUCCAAUAUUGUUCAACAAAAAAAAUUGUAAAACACUUACCUCUAUUGUAAUUGAAACACUUAACUCUAUUGUAAUUGUAAUCUCUAUUAUAACUCUAUUAUCUCUAAUAAACA
rnacentral:lncRNA from 1 species